AGGUACAAAAUUCACCCAUGUUAAACAACUCCGUAGAAAGCAAGAACUUUGUGGAUAUGAAACUUUACCUUCGGUUGGGGCGACCACGGAGGAAAAACAAGCCUCCGAGUGGACUGGGCCAAAAACCCCUAAAGCUAAAAGAGACAUCUUUAAGCCGCAGAACAUCUGACCAAUAAUGAUCCGGCUAAGAAGCCGAUCAACGGACCAAGUUACCCUAGGGAUAACAGCGCAAUCCUCUCCCAGAGCCCAUAUCGACGAGGGGGUUUACGACCUCGAUGUUGGAUCAGGACAUCCUGGUGGUGCAGCCGCUAUUAAG
rnacentral:rRNA from 1 species